CGCUCAGCGGCAGACGGGUGAGUAACGCGUGGGAACGUACCUUUUGGUUCGGAACAACCCAGGGAAACUUGGGCUAAUACCGGAUAAGCCCUUACGGGGAAAGAUUUAUCGCCGAAAGAUCGGCCCGCGUCUGAUUAGCUAGUUGGUGAGGUAACGGCUCACCAAGGCGACGAUCAGUAGCUGGUCUGAGAGGAUGAUCAGCCACAUUGGGACUGAGACACGGCCCAAACUCCUACGGGAGGCAGCAGUGGGGAAUAUUGGACAAUGGGCGCAAGCCUGAUCCAGCCAUGCCGCGUGAGUGAUGAAGGCCCUAGGGUUGUAAAGCUCUUUUGUGCGGGAAGAUAAUGACGGUACCGCAAGAAUAAGCCCCGGCUAACUUCGUGCCAGCAGCCGCGGUAAUACGAAGGGGGCUAGCGUUGCUCGGAAUCACUGGGCGUAAAGGGUGCGUAGGCGAGUCUUUAAGUCAGGGGUGAAUCCUGGAGCUCAACUCCAGAACUGCCUUUGA
rnacentral:rRNA from 1 species